rnacentral:rRNA from 1 species
UACGUAGGGUGCAAGCGUUAAUCGGAAUUACUGGGCGUAAAGCGUGCGCAGGCGGUGAUGUAAGACAGGUGUGAAAUCCCCGGGCUUAACCUGGGAACUGCAUUUGUGACUGCAUCGCUGGAGUGCGGCAGAGGGGGAUGGAAUUCCGCGUGUAGCAGUGAAAUGCGUAGAUAUGCGGAGGAACACCGAUGGCGAAGGCAAUCCCCUGGGCCAUUACUGACGCUGAGGAGCGAAAGCGUGGGGAGCGAACAGG